AACCCCGCACAAGCGGUGGAGGAUGUGGUCAAUUCGAUGCUACGCGAAGAACCUUACCUGGGCUUGACAUGCAAGUGGUAGCGACCCGAAAGGGAAGCGACCGGGGUUUACUCUGGAGCUUGCACAGGUGCUGCAUGGCUGUCGUCAGCUCGUGCCGUGAGGUGUAUGGUUAAGUCCCGCAACGAGCGCAACCCUUGUCCUUAGUUGCCAGCAUUCAGUUGGGCACUCUAAGGAGACUGCCGGUGUUAAACCGGAGGAAGGUGGGGAUGACGUCAAGUCCUCAUGGCCCUUAUGUCCAGGGCUACACACGUGCUACAAUGGCCGGUACAAAGGGCUGCAAGACCGUGAGGUUGAGCGAAUCCCAGAAAGCCGGUCUCAGUUCGGAUUGGAGUCUGCAACUCGACUCCAUGAAGUUGGAAUCGCUAGUAAUCGCGGAUCAGCAUGCCGCGGUGAAUACGUUCCCUGGGCUU
rnacentral:rRNA from 1 species